GCUAUGUCUAGGCUGAUCCCCGAAAACCCGUACACCCCUACGGGCUGGCAUAGCCGUCAGAAUUAGGGG
rnacentral:ncRNA from 1 species